CGACGAUAAGUGGCCAACUGCAGGCUAACUGCGAGGAAAGGAAUCUCUCAUCACCUAAGGAAGACGUAUGAAAUGGCUUGUCGUCCUAAUGUUUACGAAAGUGGAUAUGGAAUCAAAGAAAGAGAUAAAAGAUGUUCAACAAAAUCUUUCUACAGUGACCAAAGAAAUGAUGGAAUCAAGGAAAGAAAUAAAA